rnacentral:rRNA from 1 species
GAUGAACGCUGGCGGCGUGCUUAACACAUGCAAGUCGAGCGGGAAUUAUUUUAUUGAAACUUCGGUCGAUUUAAUUUAAUUCUAGUGGCGGGCGGGUGAGUAACGCGUGGGUAACCUGCCUUAUACAGGGGGAUAACAGUCAGAAAUGGCUGCUAAUACCGCAUAAGCGCACAGAGCUGCAUGGCUCAGUGUGAAAAACUCCGGUGGUAUAAGAUGGACCCGCGUUGGAUUAGCUGGUUGGUGGGGUAACGGCCCACCAAGGCGACGAUCCAUAGCCGGCCUGAGAGGGUGAACGGCCACAUUGGGACUGAGACACGGCCCAGACUCCUACGGGAGGCAGCAGUGGGGAAUAUUGCACAAUGGGGGAAACCCUGAUGCAGCGACGCCGCGUGAAGGAAGAAGUAUCUCGGUAUGUAAACUUCUAUCAGCAGGGAAGAUAGUGACGGUACCUGACUAAGAAGCCCCGGCUAACUACGUG